rnacentral:tRNA from 1 species
GGAGGGGUAGCGAAGUGGCUAAACGCGGCGGACUGUAAAUCCGCUCCCUCAGGGUUCGGCGGUUCGAAUCCGUCCCCCCUCCACCA